rnacentral:misc_RNA from 1 species
AGAGAGAGAGAGAGAGAGAGAACCAUCAAUUUCCCACAAUGAUGACCAAUCGAAGGGCGAUUCGAGGGGGAGAAAAAAAAAAAAAAACAACAACAAUUAAGUAAUAGUUGUUGCCCCCAUUUGGCUUAAAAUAAUAAAUGAGGUAAUGGACCGUUACCAUUACUUAACAGUAAAUAACGGCCUUUAUCGUUAAGUAGCGAGUGUAAAGGCCGUUAUAGAAAUAAUUUUUUUUAUGCCUUUAAAUUAUGGGUGUCACAGUAAGGGGAGGGCAAAAAACCUAUAAAUAACGGCCGUCAUGUAACCGUAACGGCCUUUAUUUAAAACCAUGUGUAUCACUCAAGAGAAAAGAGGGAGAAGGUACUGUUGUGGUUCAAGACCUACCCACUUUUCAGGAUGACAUGAUU